AUUGAACGCUGGCGGCAGGCCUAACACAUGCAAGUCGAACGAGUGGCGGACGGGUGAGUCAUGGAUGGGAAACUGCCUGAUGGAGGGGGCUAACUACUGGAAACGGUAGCUAAUACCGCAUAACAUCAGAUGUGACCAGAUGGGAUUAGAUAGCUGGGGGGGUAACGGCUCACAAAGGCGCCGAUCCCUAGCUGGUCUGAGAGGAUGACCUGCAACACUGGAACUGAGCCACGGCCCAGACUCCUACGGGAGGCAGCAGUGGGGAAUAUUGCGCAAUGGGCGCAAGCCUGAUGCAGCCAUGCCGCGUGUAUGAAGAAGGCCUUCGGGUUGUAAAGUACUUUCAGCGGAGAGGCGUUACCCGCAGAAAAAGCACCGGCUAACUCCGUGCCAGCAGCCGCGGUAAUAC
rnacentral:rRNA from 1 species